rnacentral:tRNA from 1 species
UUUGUCUUGACAGAUAAGUGUAAUAAAUUUAGAUUUUAUAAAUACAUAUAUUAAAUAUGUAGACAAAU